rnacentral:rRNA from 1 species
AUGAAAAGGCAUGGGACUUUUACAAAUGCCUACAUUGUCUGCUCAAGAGAAGGGACGCACAAGCAGACCAUGUCAGAUUAUCACCGGAAACGUCAGAAGACAUCAAAAAGGAUUGGCUGCAAGGCAAAGAUUAGAGUCAAAAGGAAGGAUGGCAAAUUUGUGAUAGAAAUGGUUGAACUCAACCACAAUCACAAGAUGCUGGAAACCCCCGGGAUACUUUUGCACAUGUGAUCGCACAAAAAAUACGAUCCUUUGAUAGACCAGUUAGUGAAAGACACGCAAUUGGACAACCACACACAUGCUCAGAUGGUGUCAACGCUAUCGCAUAUGUCCGGUGGUCUGCAGUACAGGGGACAUACUAGCCGCGACUGGGUAAACAAGAAACAGAAGUUUGCCAGAGAAGAGUCCAAAGAUGAUGUCAAGAAACUUCUCGAUUUCUUUGAGAAGAUGCAGAAGAUAAACCCAGAGUUCUUCUAUGAUUAUGAUGUUGAUGCAGAUAACCGUGUAAGAAACGUCUUUUGGGCCAACGCAAGUUGCAAAGGAUCGUAUGAAGAUUUUAGAGACUGUGCUACAUUUGACACGACGUAUAAAACUAAGAAAUUCCACAUGCCGUUGGGAGUCUUCGUGGGAGUGAACCAUCAUCUACAGAGCACCAUAUUUUUUGUUGCCCUCGUGGGAGAUGAAACAAUACCAUCAUUCAAGUGGGACCAGUGUUCUUCGAUGAAGGCAGCAUUAAAAACUAUCCUCCCACAUACUUUGCAUAAGUUGUGUCGGUGGCAUAUCAUGAAGAAGUAUAAAGACCACCUCGCCUUGCUGUAUAUGGCGCACGAGAAACUCAAGGAUGACCUCAAUGCGGUGCUGAACCACCCACUAAUGCCAUCAGAAUUUGAACGAGGAUGGAAGGACCUCAUUCAGAGAAACAACUUGCAAGACAACGAAGUGAUGAAUUCAUUGUGGGAUGACAGGCAUGUGUGGAUCUCGGCUUACUACAAGGAAAUUUUCUGUGCUCGGAUAACUUCCACACAGAUAAGCGAGAGCAUGAACCGCAUACUAAAGAAAAUUUUUGUCAAAUAGAAGCAUGAUCUCCAUCUAUUUGCUCAGCAAGUGGACAAGUGCAUUCAGACCAGGAAGGCCGUCAAGUGCGCAGAGACAGUAGCAAAUGAGUCAGAGGUGAAGACAACAACCCAGUUUGGGUUCGAAGUUCAGCUAUCAAAAGUGUAUACAAGGGCAGUGUUUGCAUAUUUCAAAGAAACGUUCUACCGUAGCACUGCAUUCAGAGCAGAACUGUGCCCUGAGAACCUGACAAAGUAUCUCGUACACCACUACAACAGAUCGGAUGCAUUUGACUGGGCAAGGCAUAAUUUCCAAGUGGUCGCCGAUGAAAAGAAAGAGAUCUACGAAUGUGAGUGCAAACUCUGGACACACACAGGUGAGACUCCUAGCAAAAAAAUUCUAGUUUCUGAUAGUCAUGCAUGA